rnacentral:rRNA from 1 species
CCCUACACAUGCAAGUCGAGCGGUAGAGAGAAGCUUGCUUCUCUUGAGAGCGGCGGACGGGUGAGUAAUGCCUAGGAAUCUGCCUGGUAGUGGGGGAUAACGUUCGGAAACGAACGCUAAUACCGCAUACGUCCUACGGGAGAAAGCAGGGGACCUUCGGGCCUUGCGCUAUCAGAUGAGCCUAGGUCGGAUUAGCUAGUUGGUGGGGUAAUGGCUCACCAAGGCGACGAUCCGUAACUGGUCUGAGAGGAUGAUCAGUCACACUGGAACUGAGACACGGUCCAGACUCCUACGGGAGGCAGCAGUGGGGAAUAUUGGACAAUGGGCGAAAGCCUGAUCCAGCCAUGCCGCGUGUGUGAAGAAGGUCUUCGGAUUGUAAAGCACUUUAAGUUGGGAGGAAGGGCCAUUACCUAAUACGUGAUGGUUUUGACGUUACCGACAGAAUAAGCACCGGCUAACUCUGUGCCAGCAGCCGCGGUAAUACAGAGGGUGCAAGCGUUAAUCGGAAUUACUGGGCGUAAAGCGCGCGUAGGUGGUUUGUUAAGUUGGAUGUGAAAUCCCCGGGCUCAACCUGGGAACUGCAUUCAAAACUGACUGACUAGAGUAUGGUAGAGGGUGGUGGAAUUU